UCACAUACAGCCCCCAUUGCUAGGUACCUAUCGCUAAGCCUUACGUAACUUCUCAUGAUCACCCAUAUUUAUAUCUAGCGGUUGAAUAAUUGCAAAACAAAGCCCCUUAAAUCUCCUCACAUCUUCCUUUUUUGCAGUCUCAUUUUUAUUAGAGAGAACUAAAAAAUGCUUCAAGUUAGAGAAAAGGUUUAAGACGCACUUAGUUUGGUAUGAUCUUUUGUAGUCUACAUAUAUACUCGUUAUAAUCGUGAGAAUAUUAAAGAUCGUGCCAAGCUGUGUGCGUCUUAAAUUUCUUUAUCUCUCCAUCCCUCAAAAUUUUGCAUGAAUUUAAUUAAUUAUAUGGUGAAUUUGCAUGCGACAGGCGUGCACUAUUUGAUGGUAAGGAGAAAUAUGGAUCCAUGCAUGCUGAUGGACUAUGAAUCCAGCUUCAGUACAAUAAUAUUCAAGACUUUCAAUUUGUUGAGGCAGUUUUAAUCAUUUUUUUUUUCAGAUCUAGGUAUUCCGGUGCUGUUUUAUACUCUUUCCGUUUUGUUUUAAUUUACACAUUUACCGUCAAUGUAAAACUUUGAGGAUAUAUAUCCUACACAUUUACAGUCAAUGUGAAACUUUGAGGAUAUAUAUCUUUAGUUUUGUAUUUGUAAAAAUUAAAAAAAGUAUAUAUUAAUAAAAUACAUAUUAUGAUGAA